rnacentral:tRNA from 1 species
GCCUUCAUGGUGUAAUGGUCAGCACACUGAGCCGGUAUUUCAGAGGUCCGCGGUUCGAUUCCCGGCGAAGGCG